rnacentral:rRNA from 1 species
AUUGAACGCUGGCGGCAUGCCUUACACAUGCAAGUCGAACGGUAACAGGUCUUCGGAUGCUGACGAGUGGCGAACGGGUGAGUAAUACAUCGGAACGUGCCUAGUAGUGGGGGAUAACUACUCGAAAGAGUGGCUAAUACCGCAUGAGAUCUACGGAUGAAAGCAGGGGAUCGCAAGACCUUGUGCUACUAGAGCGGCCGAUGGCAGAAUGAGGUAGUUGGUGGGAUAAAAGCUUAACAAGCCGACGGUCUGUAGCUGGUCUGAGAGGACGAUCAGCCACACUGUGACUGAGAAACGGCACAGACUCCUACGGGGAGCAGCAGUGGGGAAUUUUGGACAAUGGGCGCAAGCCGGAUCCAGCAAUGCCGCGUGCAGGAUGAAGGCCUUCGGGUUGUAAACUGCUUUUGUACGGAACGAAAAGCCCCGGGUUAAUACCCUGGGGUCAUGACGGUACCGUAAGAAUAAGCACCGGCUAACUACGUGCCAGCAGCCGCCGUAA